rnacentral:rRNA from 1 species
CAGCCGCCGCGGUAAUACGAAGGGGGCUAGCGUUGUUCGGAUUUACUGGGCGUAAAGCGCACGUAGGCGGAUCGAUCAGUCAGGGGUGAAAUCCCAGAGCUCAACUCUGGAACUGCCUUUGAUACUGUCGGUCUGGAGUAUGGAAGAGGUGAGUGGAAUUCCGAGUGUAGAGGUGAAAUUCGUAGAUAUUCGGAGGAACACCAGUGGCGAAGGCGGCUCACUGGUCCAUUACUGACGCUGAGGUGCGAAAGCGUGGGGAGCAAACAGGAUUAGAUACCCGAGUAGUCCCUGUCUCUUAUAC